rnacentral:rRNA from 1 species
AGAGUUUGAUCCUGGCUCAGGAUGAACGCUAGCGGCGGGCCUAAUACAUGCAAGUCGAACGGAACUACUGAUUUCGGUUGGUAGUUUAGUGGCGCACGGGUGAGUAACGCGUACACAACGUACCUAUUACCGGGGAAUAGCCUUUGGAAACGAGGAGUAAUACCCCAUAGUAUGUUUGGAAGGCAUCUUCUGAAUAUUAAAGUUACGGCGGUAAUAGAUCGGUGUGCGUAAGAUUAGCUAGUUGGUGAGGUAACGGCUCACCAAGGCGACGAUCUUUAGGGGGCGUGAGAGCGUGAUCCCCACACGGGUACUGAGACACGGACCCGACUCCUACGGGAGGCAGCAGUAAGGAAUAUUGGUCAAUGGAGGCAACUCUGAACCAGCCACGCCGCGUGGACGAUGAAGGCCCUCUGGGUUGUAAAGUUCUUUAGUCUGGGACGAAAAAGGAGAUUUAUCUUCGACUGACGGUACCAGAAGAAUAAGCACCGGCUAACUCCGUG